rnacentral:tRNA from 1 species
GGGGAUUUGGCUCAGUGGUAGAGCAUUUACCUAGCAAGCACAAGGCCCUGGGUUCGGUCCCCAGCUCCA